CUACGUGCCAGCAGCCGCGGUAAUACGGAGGAUGCGAGCGUUAUCCGGAAUCAUUGGGUUUAAAGGGUCCGUAGGCGGGCUAAUAAGUCAGAGGUGAAAGCGCUCAGCUCAACUGAGCAACUGCCUUUGAAACUGUUAGUCUUGAAUGGUUGUGAAGUAGUUGGAAUGUGUAGUGUAGCGGUGAAAUGCUUAGAUAUUACACAGAACACCGAUAGCGAAGGCAUAUUACUAACAAUUAAUUGACGCUGAUGGACGAAAGCGUGGGGAGCGAACAGGAUUAGAUACCCUGGUAGUCCACGCUGUAAACGAUGUAUACUAGUUGUUGCUAAGCUAGUCUUGGCAGUAAUGCACCUAACGGAUUAAGUAUACCGCCUGGGGAGUACGGUCGCAAGAUUAAAACUCAAAGGAAUAGACGGGGACCCGCACAAGCGGUGGAUGAUGUGGAUUAAUUCGAUGCAACGCGAAGAACCUUACCUGGUCUUGACAU
rnacentral:rRNA from 1 species